UACGGAGGGGGCUAGCGUUGUUCGGAAUUACUGGGCGUAAAGCGCACGUAGGCGGCUUUGUAAGUUAGAGGUGAAAGCCCAGGGCUUAACCCUGGAAUUGCCCUUAAGACUGCAUCGCUAGAAUUGUGAGAGUGAUGUAGGAGUACGUCAGUGUAGAGGUGAAAUUCGUAGAUAUUCGGAAGAACACCAGUGGCGAAGGCGACUUACUGGACACAUAUUGACGCUGAGGUGCGAAAGCGUGGGGAGCAAACAGG
rnacentral:rRNA from 1 species